rnacentral:lncRNA from 1 species
UGUCGCUUAAGACAUCAAAUCUUAAACCACGGUAGUGCUAUUGUCCUUACCUUCAUUCCGCAAUUCUAAUGGACGAUUUUUCCUUCUCUAUCUUCGCUUAACAAUCAUCUAAUGACCAAAAUCUUCCAUUUCUACCUGCCUCUGUAACCCCGACGUUUGCUCAGAUUUCUGACUUCUCUCCAUCUUCGCUGUAUUUUUAUGUUCCUAUUUAUGAGAACAAUUUUCACAAGUAUGCCCUCACCGCCCACAUUCAAAACAUACUAGAGGUAAGGAUUCAUAUCUACCUGUUGUGAUCUACCAUCUAUUUUAACUUUUAAAACUAGUAGUUUCCCCAAUUCCACAUACACCACAAGCUUCACAAAUUGACCUCUUGAAUUGUUCUCAGUGUUCUGGUCAAUUUUAGCCAUUGGUUUUAUAGCACCGUAAAUGAACCUUAAUAGACUUUUGGCGUACAUUCCUUUAGGUAAUCCCGAUAGUCGAAUCCAAACUAAAAGGCUAUGAGGCAGAGCUUGAUUA